rnacentral:pre_miRNA from 1 species
UUAAUUCAUAUUUGUAUGGAAUGGGAUCGUUUGCCUACGUUUACUGUUUGGGGCGCUGCUCCAACUGCAUACAAAAUUGGGUUA